rnacentral:rRNA from 1 species
CAAGUCGAGCGAACAGAUAAGGAGCUUGCUCCUUUGACGUUAGCGGCGGACGGGUGAGUAACACGUGGGUAACCUACCUAUAAGACUGGAAUAACUCCGGGAAACCGGGGCUAAUGCCGGAUAACAUGUUGAACCGCAUGGUUCUACAGUGAAAGACGGUCUUGCUGUCACUUAUAGAUGGACCCGCGCCGUAUUAGCUAGUUGGUGGGGUAACGGCCUACCAAGGCGACGAUACGUAGCCGACCUGAGAGGGUGAUCGGCCACACUGGAACUGAGACACGGUCCAGACUCCUACGGGAGGCAGCAGUAGGGAAUCUUCCGCAAUGGGCGAAAGCCUGACGGAGCAACGCCGCGUGAGUGAUGAAGGUCUUCGGAUCGUAAAGCUCUGUUGUUAGGGAAGAACAAAUGUGUAAGUAACUGUGCACAUCUUGACGGUACCUAACCAGAAAGCCACGGCUAACUACGUGCCAGCAGCCGCGGUAAUACGUAGGUGGCAAGCGUUAUCCGGAAUUAUUGGGCGUAAAGCGCGCGUAGGCGGUUUUUUAAGUCUGAUGUGAAAGCCCACGGCUCAACCGUGGAGGGUCAUUGGAAACUGGAAAACUUGAGUGCAGAAGAGGAAAGUGGAAUUCCAUGUGUAGCGGUGAAAUGCGCAGAGAUAUGGAGGAACACCAGUGGCGAAGGCGGCUUUCUGGUCUGCAACUGACGCUGAUGUGCGAAAGCGUGGGGAUCAAACAGGAUUAGAUACCCUGGUAGUCCACGCCGUAAACGAUGAGUGCUAAGUGUUAGGGGGUUUCCGCCCCUUAGUGCUGCAGCUAACGCAUUAAGCACUCCGCCUGGGGAGUACGGUCGCAAGACUGAAACUCAAAGGAAUUGACGGGGACCCGCACAAGCGGUGGAGCAUGUGGUUUAAUUCGAAGCAACGCGAAGAACCUUACCAAAUCUUGACAUCCUUUGACCGCUCUAGAGAUAGAGUUUUCCUCUUCGGAGGACAAAGUGACAGGUGGUGCAUGGUUGUCGUCAGCUCGUGUCGUGAGAUGUUGGGUUAAGUCC